AGAUAGGUGGCAGAGUAGCAUGCACUGGCUUUAAGCGCCAAAUACGGGAUUUUAUAGGCCCCUUAUCUU
rnacentral:tRNA from 1 species